rnacentral:misc_RNA from 1 species
AAAGUCGUAACAAGGUUUCCGUAGGUGAACCUGCGGAAGGAUCAUUAUUGAAUGAACUUGGCUUGGUUGCUGCUGGUCUUUUCGAAGGCAUGUGCACGCCAUGUCAUCUUUAUAUCUCCACCUGUGCACCUUUUGUAGACCUGGAUUCAAUUUUCCGAGGUAACUCGGUCGUGAGGAACUGCUUAACGGCUUUCCUUGUUAGUUUCCAGGCCUAUGUUUUCAUAUACACCAUACGAAUGUAACAGAAUGUCAUUAUUAGGCUUAAUUGUCUUAUAAACUAUAUACAACUUUCAGCAACGGAUCUCUUGGCUCUC